rnacentral:rRNA from 1 species
UACGGGGGGGGCAAGCGUUGUUCGGAAUUACUGGGCGUAAAGGGCGCGUAGGCGGUUUGCUAAGUUUGAAUGUGAAAACUCUGGGGCUUAACCCCAGAGCCUGCAUUCAAUACUGGCAGGCUAGAGUUCUGGAGGGGGAUAGCGGAAUUCCUGGUGUAGCGGUGAAAAUGCGUAGAUAUCGGGGAGGAACACCAGUGGCGAAGGGCGACUUCCUGGCCUGUUCUUGACGCUGAGG